rnacentral:rRNA from 1 species
UACGGGGGAGCAAGCGUUGUUCGGAUUUACUGGGCGUAAAGGGCGCGUAGGCGGCCACCGCAAGUCGGUUGUGAAAUCUCUGGGCUUAACCCAGAAAGGUCAACCGAUACUGCGGGCUAGAGUGCAGAAGGGCAACUGGAAUUCUCGGUGUAGCGGUGAAAUGCGUAGAUAUCGAGAGGAACACCUGCGGCGAAGGCGGGUGCUGGGCUGACACUGACGCUGAAGCGCGAAAGCUAGGGGAGCGAACGGG